rnacentral:rRNA from 1 species
GACCAGACUCCUACGGGAGGCAGCAGUGGGGAAUAUUGCACAAUGGGGGAAACCCUGAUGCAGCGACGCCGCGUGAGCGAUGAAGUAUUUCGGUAUGUAAAGCUCUAUCAGCAGGGAAGAAAAUGACGGUACCUGACUAAGAAGCCCCGGCUAACUACGUGCCAGCAGCCGCGGUAAUACGUAGGGGGCAAGCGUUAUCCGGAUUUACUGGGUGUAAAGGGAGCGUAGACGGCUGUGCAAGCCAGAUGUGAAAGCCCGGGGCUCAACCCCGGGACUGCAUUUGGAACUGUGUGGCUGGAGUGUCGGAGAGGCAGGCGGAAUUCCUAGUGUAGUGGUGAAAUGCGUAGAUAUUAGGAGGAACACCAGUGGCGAAGGCGGCCUGCUGGACGAUGACUGACGUUGAGGCUCGAAAGCGUGGGGAGCAAACAGGAUUAGAUACCCCAGUACAC